rnacentral:misc_RNA from 1 species
UCCGGUUUGUCACCGGCAGUCUCAUUAGAGUGCCCUUUCGUAGCAACUAAUGACAAGGGUUGCGCUCGUUGCGGGACUUAACCCAACAUCUCACGACACGAGCUGACGACAGCCAUGCAGCACCUGUGUUCUAGCUCUCUUUCGAGCACUCCCAACUUUCAUCGGGAUUCCAGACAUGUCAAGGGUAGGUAAGGUUUUUCGCGUUGCAUCGAAUUAAUCCACAUCAUCCACCGCUUGUGCGGGUCCCCGUCAAUUCCUUUGAGUUUUAAUCUUGCGACCGUACUCCCCAGGCGGUCAACUUCACGCGUUAGCUGCGUUACUGAGUCAAUAAAGACCCAACAACUAGUUGACAUCGUUUAGGGCGUGGACUAC